rnacentral:misc_RNA from 1 species
AACUCUCAAACCGUAUCUUUAUUGAUGUCGGGCUUGGAUUUGGACGUUGCUGGGUUAACGCUCGGCUCGUCUCAAAAGCAUCAGCUGAUCUCCCUUGACCCUCAGUUUUUCGGCGUGAUAACUAUCUACGUCGGAGCCCGUCAAAAGGCGCUGAGGUCAACAUCCGAGGAUCGCUUCUAAUCGUCCUAGGACAACGUUUUCAUCAC